GAUGAACGCUAGCGGCAGGCUUAACACAUGCAAGUCGAGGGGUAUAGGUUUUCGGACCUAGAGACCGGCACACGGGUGCGUAACGCGUAUGCAAUCUACCUUUUACAGAGGGAUAGCCCAGAGAAAUUUGGAUUAAUACCUCAUAGUAUAAUGAUUCGGCAUCGAGACAUUAUUAAAGUUCCAACGGUAAAAGAUGAGCAUGCGUCCCAUUAGCUAGAUGGUAAGGUAACGGCUUACCAUGGCGACGAUGGGUAGGGGUCCUGAGAGGGAGAUCCCCCACACUGGUACUGAGACACGGACCAGACUCCUACGGGAGGCAGCAGUGAGGAAUAUUGGUCAAUGGGCGCAAGCCUGAACCAGCCAUGCCGCGUGCAGGAUGACGGUCCUAUGGAUUGUAAACUGCUUUUGUACAGGAAGAAACAGUUCUACGUGUAGAACCUUGACGGUACUGUAAGAAUAAGGAUCGGCUAACUCCGUGCCAGCAGCCGCCGUAAUAC
rnacentral:rRNA from 1 species